rnacentral:tRNA from 2 species
AAAAUCCCGUGACUUUUAAAAUCGUGAGG